rnacentral:lncRNA from 1 species
UAUAAAAGCAAGUGAAAGUCUAAACUUGUCUCAAUUAGCCAUCUAAUACAAUAUUUGAAUGAACUAGGUGCACAACCCCUACAACAUAGUUCAAAAAUGAAGUAACUAGGGAGGAACUACAAAUGACUCAUACGUCCUUGAAUCAUGAGGACUCACCACAAGCUAGGAGAAUAGUUGAUCAAAGCUUUGAGCAAAUGAAGAUCACCUCAAAUACCGAACCCUACACUUUAGGAAAAAGGUAGGAAAAUAAGUGUUGGUACAAAAAUGGACUAAGUAUGAUAGCCAUGCAUAAAAAAGUUGAAAACAUGCUAAAAAUGACAUUUUAGAUAAAAAGCAUGCACUUUACCUAGUUUGAUAAUCAUCACGCACAUUAGUGUAAAGCGUAAGUCAUAAGCAUAUUCAACAUAUAGAUCAUCAUAGCAUAAUCGAACAAUCUCAUAAGUAACCCUAAGUUAUACAUGUGCAAUGCAUAGAUAAAGAUCCCAUAAUCCCAUAUAUACUAACUACCACUUUUAGGCCACCAUAAACAUCCUUACCAUUCAUUGGCAUCAUCCUUUAUUAAUACUCAUAGACAAGGAAGCUUUCACAUUUACUAAGUCAUAUAAAGGAAAGCACCUCAUAGUAACAAUGCACAUUAAGAAUACUUUAUUUCAUAAGUCAUCAUAACAUAAAAGGAACACACCAUAACAACUCUCAAAGCCUACUUGUGCAAUGCAUGGAUGAAGUCCCAUACACCCACCCACACUAAGUAGUGCUUCUUGAGGAGCCAUAGUUCAUAGCCAUCUAUUGUGCGGGUAAGCCUUAACCGACAUAGACCAUGUGAGAAAAUCAUGAAAUCGGUGUCAUGACCCACACAGAAAAGAGUUGGUAUACUUGCCUAAGGUAGAACCGGUAACAUUUAGCUUAGGUAGAUCCACUAGCUAAUAACCUAUCUAGGCACAUAGUUAUGGGAUAAGAAGAUUGUUAGUAGAAACCCGAACCUUACUUAACGGGGGAGCCUCAAUCUCAUGAGAUUACUUUUAGAAACCUGGCCUUACUUAACGGAGAGCCUCUAUCUCAUAUUCAAUAUCCACUCGGUGCUAAGCAUUACUUCCCACAAUUACAAGUUUAGUUUUGAAUUGAGUUAACUAGAAUGAAAGAGUGCCUUAACACUCUAUCCAAAACAAUUCAUAAAAUACCUCAUAGAUUCAAUAGGUGAGAAUGGAAUUUCAAUCUUAGAAUCAUCAUAUUGUGACAAAACCUUUCAUAUCAUAUUCAUUAUGUGUUUAUGAAAAUUACCUUUCAAUCAACACAACAAUUAGAUUAUAAUCAUGUUCAUAAAGCAUGAACAUAAAUAUCAUGAUCAUACAUAAUUCUCAUAAUUUUCCCAUCAAGGUCCAUGGACCACAUUCAAUCAACACACCUAGAAUUACUAAAUAAGGCAUGGAUAAUAACAAGAUUCAAGUAAUCAAUUUAUAAAAUUCAUAAUUCUAUAACAUUCUACUUGCAUCAAUCAAUACCCACACUUUAAUAUCCAAUUUGAGAAAACAGGGAAAUUCAUGGAUUCUUGAGGAAUUCAACUUAAAAUCAUAUAAAAUUAUUAAUAUAUUCAUAAACAAUCAUAAUUUAAUCAUUUAAAAUGAAUUUUAAAGGAAUCCAUGACAUUGAAGUCAAACCCUAACUUUUGGGUUUUCUAGCUUUGAAAUUGAGGUUUUUGAAGUGGCUCUAUGGGUGAAGGAUACCUAUAGAUGAAAAGAUACCAUACCUUGAUGAGGAAAUCCAACGAAUUUGAGGAGAAAAACUUGAUUCUUCAACCGUAGCUUCACCUUUCUUCCUCUUCUUCUUCCUUGAAAUUCUAGAGAGAUGAUUUUGGAAUAAAGUUGGUUAUGGAUUUUGGGUUUUGGGAUUUAUGAAGUAAAUGGGUUGGUUAAUGACUUCAAAACUUUUAUAUAGGUGUAUUAAAAUAAUAUUAAAUGACCUCACAUCAUACUAAAUAAAUUAUGAAAUAACCUAAAGACCCCUAGAACUAGCCGACUUGAACCAACUUAUAGACCCCAUCCACGAACCUUACCUACGAGGCGUUGACUAACCCACAUACCAUAUUGGUGGGACGUGGGUUGGGGUCUGCAGCCUCUAACCUUGGACUUGAUCCAUGAAGCUCCACCCACGGAGCGUGGGCCACCCUACAGGGCAUAGGUCCUUCCAUGGGUCACUAUUUUUUGGGUAGUUUUGAGGGUGGUUCUAGGGUCCUCCUCAAGGACCCUUGGUUGGUCCUUGGGGAGUCUUACCUUGAUGUUUUAACCCCUAAACCCUUCAUUCUAAGUACGAGAAGCAAAUUUUAUGACUCUAACACUUACGACAAGCUGUAGUUAAGCCUACUAAUUUUUGUGGUAUAAUAAUAAAUGUACAAUACAACAUAACCGAAACAUAAUGGAUAGCUCAAUGUUUUGACAUGCUAACUGAAAAUGCAACAUUAAUGUACUGUUAAUGAAACAUUUGGAACUAAUGCAUGUAUAACUGUACAAACUGGCCUAACAAGUGUAAUUAAUGAACUAAACGAAUCUACACAACUAGGGUUCUUAAUUUCAUGCGAGGAACUAGGCAGCAGUGUUACAACAACAUGAAAAUCUGAUUAGGAAUAUUCUAACAACUAAUCCACAACAAUUUCUAACAUUCAAGAAACCCUAGGUCUAGAUAAUAUGGAUGGAAUCAAGAAUCUGACUGAAUUCUAGGGACCUAGUGGAAGAAAAUAAUCCACUAGUGAAAUCCCACAUACAUGGUAAGGAAUUUCACAGAGAAAUCAUUCUAUUUUGGGGCAGAAACUGAAGAAGAUUUGUUGCGUUCUUGGAGAGGGUUGGUCAACUCUUUCUCCUCUCUGUGUUCUAAGUUUUAUGAAUUUUGGUAAAUGAAUUGACUAGGGUAGGUUCUAAUUAAGUGACAAGGUUAAAACUGACAAAAACUGCGUAGUUUAGGGGUUAAAUGACGUAUUUUAGGUGUCGAAUGUAUAGGGGAAAAGACCAAAUGACCCUGGAUGGACCGAUGGUCCAUUCUGGUUCGCCAUCAUUCAGGGUCUUAGAGUUCGAUAUGGGGGUCUGACCCAUGGCCCUGGAGCACAAACUAUUGCCUGACCUACAAUCCGUUGGUCUUAGCGUAGGUCAACCCUUAGCUGAAUUUUUCUAGGGGUUCUGGAGGGGGUUGCAGGUGGAAGACCACGGACCUCACCUACGGUCAGUAGGUGGCACCUGUCGGUGGCACCUGCAACUUCUGAAAUGUCUGUUGGUUGAUCUUUCUAGGAUACAGGGUGUUACAAGCUCGACGAGUUGGCACUGACUCCGCCUUGUGUGCCAGAUCCCUUAGUAUUUUUUCUACUCUUCAUUUCUGAAAGCUCACCAAAACAUUUUGAUCCAAUUGGGCGAUAUGCCUUCUCGUUAGGCGAGCCUAAAUACCGUUUUAAAGCUUUAUUCAAAGUGUUUUUGAUUCCGACUAAUCUUCACAACUCUUGUGCUUUACUGUGUACCUUGCAAGUAAUGGCGAGACUGAAGGGUAAGAAUGUGGUCUACUUCGAUACUGAGUCAGACAAAGAGGCUCCUCCUCCUCCUCUCCCUCUUAAGAAAAACUAGGCCUCACCAUUAAUGAAAUAUCUAAAUCGCCCACAAACUUCUGCCUAACAACCAUUUACCCAAGAUAGGGCACAACCUAGGGCGGUGAGGAAGAGGGUGGAAAUUAGAUCCAAGUUGGGUUAGCCCUCAUCUGCAUAGACAUAGAAUUCGAGACUUCUCCCUAUUAUAGCUCCAUGAACCUUGAAUUAGCUCAAAGAGGUAGGAGAACGGACCAUACUCGAGGAGAGAUGACUAUGCAUAGAUGGAUUGAUAAGCGAUUACCCAGCCAUCUAGGCUACAAUUUAGCUCCAUUGUUUUGAAAGCUUUACCAAAGCCAAGAUCCCAUACAUGCCUUCUUGGGUGAGGAAGUUUUUCGCAAAAUAUGCACAUGCACUUCCGAUGAAGCCAAAGGGUACAAUUUUGAAGCCACUUAAAGAAGUGGAAGUGAAAGCGAAGAGAGUCUAGUGCGACAUAGGAGCUAUUAAUACUGCCUAAAAUAUACCUGUAUUUGGAGAUGAUUUGUAUUCAUUCCCGAUGCGCAAUGAUCUGGACUCUCUUAAGGGUUGUCUAGCACCCUUGAUCUCUAAUUUUUCUCAUUCUUGAAUGGUGGAUUAUGCAAAUAUCGAGAAGAAAGAUUUAAUUAUGGUUGCCAGAUAUUGGUUUAGCUUUAUAAGUAGUAACCUGAUGUCAUUGAAGAAUAAGUAUAUUCUUUGCAAUGACAAGCCGGUAUUAGUGGGCAUCAUCGAUUGACAGCACAUACACGUUGGUACCAUUGUCACUGUAGAGAUUCUUAUAAGGGUGACGAAAGACCAGACAUUGCUUACAUUUCAAGUGUUGAUCAGAAAUUUCAGCUUGAGAGAAGGAGUCCGUUUUAGGGCUACUACAUAUGUGACAAUCACAUUACCCUUAUCCAUUGAUAUCCAGAGGAUCGAAGCAGAAUGAUUGUGAGAUUAUACGGCUCGAAGAAAUUUUCUACCACAAGACUCCACUAUAGUGGUCGACCCUGCCACAUUGACAUAUGAAACUAGCAAUUCUGUUCCUUUUGGGGUGCGGGCUGGUAUUCCUAUUCCUUGAUCUAUUGGUGGCUUUUCUCAUUCCACUACUGCAUCUGCACCUUCUACUUCUGUUACCGUUGCUAGUGUAAGGCCUCCCCAUUCUCGUGUUGUCCCUCCUCCCUUGACCCAUGCACUUAUAUAUAAUAUGGGCAGUCUUACCCCAUGAGCAGAUGUUAAAGCUGCUCAAGUUGAGAAGGACUUACCCCGACUCAUUGAUUAGGCUAUCUAUAAUGGCUUCGCUCCUCUACCUGAGCGUAUGGUUAAGUAUGAGAGGACUAUUGUGAUCCACAAUCUAAGAUUAGGUGAUUUUACUGCAAGGAUAGCAGAGUUGGGGAAGGUAGAGGGUAGUUCAAGUGCGUUGGAAACCCUUAGAGCUGAGGUUUCCACGUUGAGGGCUAAAGUUAACCUGAUUCAAUACAUGGAUAUCUUGACACUUUGGGGUAAUAUUCCCCUUUCAUAUGUUGUGGCCCCUGCAGCCAAGAUGCUUAGUGUUGCAUCUUCUUCAUCUAUGCAUGAGGUUGUUGUAGAUGUGGAUGCUAAGGACGAGGAAAUAGAUUAAGACACUAAUGAGGAGAGGUUGAUAGAGGACGAGCAAGGGGUUACUAAGAUCCUGACAUAGACGCAAGAGACGGAGGAGGCUAUCCUAGAGAGGUCCCUUUGAGAGACUACAGAGGUCCAGAGUGCACCACAUUUCUUAUUAUUAAGACGGGAAGUGAUACGCAAGCCGAGCCUUUCUUUCUGCCUCUUGUAGGAAUCGAUGCCCCACUUAAGGUUUCUCCACUAGAGACUUCAGAUGAGAGUGCUCCACAGGCAUAGAAUGUUAAGGGAUCCUAUAUCUCAGCCUCAUAGCAUUUCAUUUAUUUAGCAUCGAGGACACUACUUUUAAUUUUUGGUGGGGUGAGGGCCUUCGUGCAAAUAUUCUCCUUUUGUUUGUAUUUUGUUAUUUUAAACUUUAGUAGUUAAUGUUUUGUUUAUGUUAGAGUGCUUUUCUUUUGGGAAAUUAUGUGUAUUUACUUCAAUUUUUAUUCUCUACCUUUAUGAAUGCAACCCCACAUGAAUUUUUAAAUCUUGAAAUGCUUAGGGUAUUCAUUGACAUAAUUUAAAAAUAAUUAUUUUUCAAUAUCGAGGUCUUAUAUAGUAAUCAUGAUGAGCAUGAUGCAUAGUGUUGAUGUUGAGAGAAUGAAAUUGUUGUGGUUAAACUUUUGAAUGAUCCUAUUGAAUCUUUUGUGGAUUAGAUGUGUUUCGAUGUGAGCCUUGCAAUGAACAUCGCACGUACGCUUUUGCCCUUUUUUGGAUGUGCUAAAUGAGUAUUGUUUGAACUGGCAUAUGUGGUGAGAUUUCACUUGAAAGCAUGCAUGCGGAGUUCUAGAAUUUGCCUUGUUAGUCAAUUUUUUUGAAUCUUGGUAAAUAUGAGACAUGAUCUUUGGCAAAAAUUCAAUGAGGGAACCAAAUUGUUCAUAAACUAUUUGUGACUACCUUAUGAUGGUGUGAAACCUUUUUGGCCCCAUUUUAGCCUAAUCUAUUUAUUGUCAACCAAAAGAAAGCCUUUGAAUUAAAUUGUCUCUACCUUCUUACCUAAAAUCCUUUCUGAAGCAUUUUGAUAAUUGAAUAUCAAACUUAGGCCAAAAGUGUAAGUUGGGCGUGUGGAAAGAAAGGAUAAAUGAAAGCCAAGUAAAGGAAAAAGAAAGAUGUGUUGAGGCUCAACCUUGAAUGUGAAAAAAAAGGGAUAUAGAGAAAAAAAAUGAGAGAAAAGUGAAAAUGAAAAUUGGACCACAUGAAAUAAAUGGGGAUUCCAAAUAAAAUGAGGUUGAGUUCUCAAUUGAAAAGGUAGAAAAAGAACUACAGAAGAGGUGAUGAUGAUUGUAACAACUCUUUGAAAAGGUAAAGUCGCCGAUCUAAAUUGACCAUGCCUUAACCCACAACCCCAUUAAAAGCCUAAAAGACACUUGAGAUCUUGCACGAACUAGGUUGUUUUGUAAUUUGAAGAUAUAGGCAAACCUAUGGGACAAAGAUUUCAUGUAUUUGUUUGUUGAGAGAGUGAGAUUUGCAUUAAUUUCUUAUACCUUUGUUGAAAUUUAUUUGUGAGAGCAUGGAAUCGUUCUUGAUAUGAGGGCACUUGAAUGCAUUUGUUGAAGCAUGUUCUUACAUUAGACAAGAAGCUAUAGUGAGCUUGAGCUAGUGUUGAGACUAGCUAGUAAUCAUGUGAAGUUUUUUAAUCAUGAUUUAGUGUAACAUACUAUUGAGAAUAAUCUGGCUAUGGCAUUUGUAUGCUAGUUCUCAUUGAGUAUUGCUGUAGACACCCAUAUUAAGCUUAUUGUGUUCUUUAUUUACUUGAGGACAACCAAAUGUUUAAGUUGGAAGUGUUGGUGAGUGGUAGACUUACACUCAUUUAAGGUCCAUUUAGCUAAAUAUUUAUUGUCAUCAAUGCCUUAAUAUUGUUUUUUCUCAUAUAAAACUGAUGAUUUUACAUUAUGAAGGCAAUUGGACGAGGCAAGGACUAAUGUUUGAAAGAAGGGCCAAAAUUAAAAAGAAGUGCAAUGUGAACAUUGUUGAUCACCUAGGAUGAAGGGAAAAUUCCCUACUGAACAUGACCUCUUCAAAUUUGAAAGUGCACGACACUUGUUGCUACCAAGGAAGGUGCGCAUAGUGAAAACAGUGGACUUGAUAGUCAUCGCCCAAAGUUACAGCGUGCAAGGUAAUGAUUGAAAGCUCGAAAGUCGGACUUAGGUGGUAUUCGGCCAUUCGCCGAAUGUGAAAGGCUAACUCAAUCAAGUUCGUAAACUGAGGUUCAAACACCUAAAGCCUAGAGCUUCAAAGGGUGAGCUGAGGAGCCAAGGGCAAUCUGUCAUGCAGGUAGGGCAAGCCUGACUAAUGUCACUGAAUUAGUCCUUAAUUGGAUUUUUGGCCAAAACAUGGGAAGUAUAACUAGCCCAAAGAAUAGAAUUGAAAAAUAUAUUAUUCAGAGACAUUUUCAGAAAAAAAAAAAAAAAAAAAAAAAAAAAAAAAAAAAAGGAGAAAAGUUCAAAAAUAUAUUGAGAAAUUGAUAGAGAACAUCUUUCUACCUUUGAAUAUGUAACACCCCAGAUUCGAGAAGGGCAAGACAACAUUUUUCAGAAGCUGCAGGUGCCAUCCGACAGAGGCCACCCACGGCCCGUGGAUGGUACCACGGACCGUAGGUGUGGUCCAUAGAUUUGCCACCCAAAAAGGAGUCAGGGGACCUAGAACCACACCCAAAGCAACGAACCAUUUGUGGGACCAUGGUCCGUGGUUGAUGGCCCGUGGUCUAGACCCCUAAUUCCCACAUUAUGACGCCAGAUGACAGACCGCCAGGAUGUGCUGUCGAUCAGACCACGGUCUGUCAGUCAGGGUCCGUGGGUCGUGGCUGGCAGUUAGUUUUAGGAGCAGUUGGGUCUUUUCCUAAAUAGUCUAGCCUAAUACUAUGUCAUUUUUACCUUCACUAAGACUCGUAUAUAAGUAUUUUAACCCCCAAAUUUCCCCAAUUGAAAUAAAUCUCUCAAAUUUCUAAAUGAAGAUAAAGCUCUUCCUUGCCAAAUAUGUCUCUCUCUAGAAGUUGAAGAAAAAAGUUAGGGUUUUAAGAUCAAGCAUCCUAAUUCUCCAUUCCUUCCAAGCUUUGGGCAUUAAGGUAUGAUAAUCUUCAUUCAUGGAUCCCUUCCAUCCAGGGAGUUCCCAGAUUUUUCAAUUUUAUAAAGUUAGAUCCCCCAUUUAAGUUAGGAUUUUCUUCAAUUGCCAUGGGUUCCUUUUUAAUGUUUAUUUUUUAAUUAAUUUAUGAACUUUUAUGCAUGAAUUGAAGUAAUUGCAUGCUUUUAAGUUGAAUCCCCAUGAACCCAUGUAAAUCCCAUGUUUUCCAAUUAUGAUGAUAUAAUGUGGGUUUAGAUAAUGAAAAAAGAGUUUGAUAAAAUCAUGCAUCAAUUGUUAUAAUUACAUGAAUUUAUGAUGAAACCCAUGUUUAACCCUUGUUUUCUAGAUGUUGAUGAUUGAAAGUGGGUUUUGAACCUUGAAAGAUGAAUUAUGAAAUUAUGCAUGCUCUUAUGAAGUUUAUGGAAAUGUUUUAAGGGUGCUUUUAGAGUGUAGUAUCAAUGAUCUUAUUAUGGUUGUGUUUUUGAAAGGAUUUAUCAUAUACACACAUAGGCAUGAAUUGUGAAAGACUUUCUCACCUGAAAUGAACCAAUGCGAAGCAGCUAAUCUAAUGAUGAGGCAAGAGGUGAUUACCCAUGCUCUCUUAUUGAAUGAUAAGAGGCGAUUAGACAUGACACAUGAUGUAAAGACAAUAGGCGAUUACCCAUGUUCCUUAAAGGACAAGAGGUGAUUACCCAUGUUUCUUCAUGAGCUAUGAUUAAAAGAUCAUGGACAGUGAAAGAUUUUCUCACGCAUGGUGUAAGGAGCUAUACUAUAAUAACACAAGGGGCGACUACCCAUGUCUCUUAAAGAUAAGACAAGUCAAGACUUAAUAACUACUGUUUGGGAAUUAUUCUUAGCACCGAGAGGAUAUUGAGAUUGAAGCUCUUCCGUGUUGAGGUCGGGUUUUCUAGAAGAAAUCUUCUUAUCCCUUACCUAUGUGACCCCAUAUGAUGAUGGUCUAGAAAGACUUUAACUAGUGGAUCCACUUUAGCUCAGAUUCACGGUUCUACCUUGGAAAGUAAGACAACCCUUUUUAGUGUGGGAUACAACGGGGGAUCAUGUUAUCGCUCACAUGGUCUUUAUGUCAGUUAAGACUCAUUCCCAUAAUAAUAAUUAACCAAAGUUAAUUCAAGUAGUAUCUCACAUGUGUUCAAAGAUGAUGUUCACUUGCAUUGAUCAUGGUUUUAUGACUUAUGGUUUCUAACUCUCAAAAAACAUGUUUUAGCUUGAUCAUUGCAUACUUAUAAAAAUUUCCCUUUUAGCAUGAUUUAAAUGUUUUAUGCAUGGUUAUCAUACUUGUUACAUUAGUUUGUACUGACACAUAUUUUUUCCUACAUUUCCCUAAAUGUAGGGUCCGACAGUCAGGGUUCUCAAUUUCAUGGCUACAGGUUCACUUAAGAGAUUUUGAGCCUUGGUGAGUCCCCAUGCUUUGAGGAUGGAUUUUCAUCAUUUCAGUUUUCUUUCCUACUUCCAGUCUUGGACAUGAUGUAUGGGCUAGGCCCAAUUUAUUUCUAUUGUAUUAGAUGGAUAUUGAGACAAAUGUUUAGUCUUCCGCUUCGCUUUUAUAAAACAUUUGACUUGAAAUGUUGUUUUCAUUCCUUUGUCCGAUUCUUAUGUUAUGAAUGCUAAGUGGCUUGUGUGGGAUAUCUUGGGAUCCUAUACGCCAUGUUACAUCUAGGGUGUACCCCUGGGUCAUGACAAACUUGGUAUCAGAGCCAGGUUUAGAAGGGUCCUAGGAUGUCUCAUAAGCCACAUCGAGUAGAGUCUUGUUCAUGAAGGUGAAGCGUGCCACAUUUAUGAAUGGGAGAAUAUAAGAUGUUUAGGAAACUCCGCAUCUUUCAUUACUAUAAAGUGGUACGAUAGAGUGUAACUCUAGGUGUCUUUCUCUCCUAACCCCUAUUUAUGCUUUUCAAAGUAUGCUUCCAUGAUGGAAUCUUGUGAGAUGGAAUAGAAAUGUUCGUGAAAAUGUUAGACAAGAGGUUCCCCAAGUGCCGAUCAACCCUUUGUCCGAGCAAUUGACUUAUGAUGAGUUUCGAGUUGCAUUUCAUGCGUUGGACCAAGCUAUGAUGGCUCAGGCAAAUAGGGAGGUUGUGGCUCCCAUGAACCCAAGGGUGGGUACAAUGGCAACUAGAGUGACAAACUUUAUUAGGAUGAAUCCAUAGGAUUUUCAUGGGUCAAACAUUGAGGAAGAUCCUCAAGAGUUCAUUGAUGAGGUGUAUAAGGUGUUGAUGAUCAUGGGAGUGACGAUGGUGGAAAAGGCGGAAUUGGCCACUUAUCUACUUAAGGGUGUUGCUCAAGUUUGGUUCAACCAAUGCAAAUAAUAGAGGGCAGAAGAUGAGGGUUCUCUUGAUUAGGAGAAAUUUAAGGUUGUUUUUCUUGAUAGGUUCUUUCCCAUUCAAAUGAGAGAAGCAAAAGUAAUUGAGUUCAUUAACCUUCGCCAAGGAGAUAUAAGUGUGAAUGAGUCUGCUUUGAAAUUCACACAAUUGUCUAAUAGGCUCCCACUAUGGUUGCCGAUCCAAGGGCAAGGAUGAGUAAGUUUGUGUCGGAUGCUUCAGACUUAGUGGUCAAAGAAUGCCUAACCACCAUGCUUGUUAAGGAAAUGGAUGUUUCUUUGUUGAUUAUACAUGCACAACAAAUAGAAGAAGGAAAGCUUAAGAAAAAAACUAUGGAUUCAAAGAGGACAAGAAGGGAUGAUGGUGAGUUUUCACAUUCAAGGUCUGAUGGAGCUAAUUGUUCUCUAGGUAAGGAUGGUAGUGAGAAAACGUGUCCCGACUGUAGGGAGUGUGGGAGAAGACAUGAGGGUAAAUGUCUAGCCGGUUCUAAUACUUGUUUUGGUUGUCGAAAGAUGGAUCAUAAGAUAAGGAAUUUUCCUUCCGUUUCUAGAAAUGAGGGAGAUGAUCAUCAAAGGGCACAACCUCACCCUUUCUCCGAUCCUAGUGGUGGUUGGAAACAAGAUAGCUUAUAUUCUCUUCAAACUCAACAAGAUCAUAAGGGUUCCACAUAUGCGGUGAUUGGUAAGUUAUGGUCUUUUAGCUUUGUGGGUAUGGAUUUUUUAGUAUUGAUUCUUGCAUUGACUAUGGUAAGACUCCAUGUAUGGAGAAUUUGUUUGGAGAAGUUAUUGAAAUCCUUGUGGAAACCUCUUAUGUGUUUACUUGUUUCAAUGGUUUAGUGGUUGUUAAGACGUUGGUGUUAUGGUUGGGGUGAGGGAGAUGGAUUUGAAAAGACUAGUGGGGUUUGCUCCAAAGGAGGAGAUAGGGUGCCUCAUGGUUGGUACGUGAGUAGAACUAUGUUGGUUUUGGAAGAGUUCUUUGUCAUGGUUUGGUGGGUGAAUGUUCAAAGGCGAUGUGAUGUCUUAGUAUCUCUAUAUGUUUCCUUCUAUCUUGUAGUCUAGCAUGAGGGCUUAUCCCUCAUGGUUCACUCUUUAGAAUUCGGGUUUCUUAGUCAUCCGCAUGUUUCCUCAUGCAUGCAUACUCAUGUAUAUGAUUUAGUUUAAUUGAUUGUUUCAUGUUUAUGUGCAUUUGAAUAUGAUCUUGCAUGUUUCUCCUAUGAAGAGAUGUUUUAAAAGUAUGAUUUAGCCUGCAGAUGGAGUUUCCUCCCUCGAUAUGUGCAUUUAUGUGAUUGCAUUCAUGUUGGGCUGCUAGGUCUUGUUCCUAUCUUCCUUAGAAUGUUUUGAAUAUGUUCUAGCUUGGAGUCGAGGUUCCUCCUUGGCUAUGUGCAUUUCGAUGAAGUUGCAUUACUAAUUAGGUUGUUAGUUUCCCUGCUACUCUCUUCGUGCUAAUUUAAGUUCCAUUCGAGGUUGAAUGUUCCCAUAGGGGAGAUAAUGUAACACCCCGGAUUCAAGAAGGGCAAGACAACAUUUUCAGAAGAUGCAGGUGCCAUCUAAUAGAGGCCACCCACGACCCGUGGAUGGGACCACAGAUUGUAGGUGUGGUCUGUGGAUUGGCCACCCAAAAAGGGGGGAGGUGACCUAGAACCACGGUCAGACCAACAGACCGUUUGUGGGACCAUGGUCUGUGGUUAAGGGCCCAUGGUCCAGAUCCCCAAUUCCCACUUUCUGACUCCAGACGAUGUACUGACAGGACAGGCCAUCGGUCAGACAAUGUUGCGUCAUUUGGGGUCCGUGGGUUGUGGCUGGCCGUUGGAUCUUUUCCUAAUUAUUUUAUCCUAAUACUAUGUCAUUUUAACCUUUACUAAGAUCCUUAUAUAAGUAAUUUAAUGCCCAAAUUUCCCCAUUAGAAAUCAUUCUCUCAAAUUUUAAACUAAGAUCAAGCUCUUCCUCUCCAAAUAUUUCUCUCUCUAGAAGUUGUAGAAGAAAGUCAGGAUCCUCCAUUGCUUCCAAGCUUUUGGCAUCAAGGUAUGACAACGUUCAUCCAUGCAUUCUUAACAUCCAUGGAGUUCCCAAAUUCUCCAAUUUUGUAAAGUUAGAUUUCCCAAUUAAGUUAGGGUUUUAUUCAAUUACCAUGGGUUCCUUUCAAUGUUGAGUUAUUUGAUUGAUUUAUGAAAUUUUAUGCAUGUAUUAAAGUAAUUGCAUGUUUUUAAGUUGAUUCCCAAUAAACCCAUGUAAAUCCAAUGUAUUCCAAUUAUGAUGAUAUAAUGUGGGUUUGGGUUAUGAAAGAAAAUUUUAAUGAAAUGAAGCACAAAUUGAUAGAAUUUGCAUUAAUUUAUGAUGAAACCAAUGUUUAGCCCUUCUUUUCUAGAUGUUGAUGAUUGAAAGUGGAUUUUAAACCAUGAAAGGUAAAUUAUGAAAUUAUGCAUGUUCUUAUGAAGUUUAUGAAAAUGUUUUAAGGGUGCUUUGACAGUGAAGUAUCAAUGAUGUUGUUAUUAUUGUGUUUUUGAAAGGAUUUUCAAUAUACACAUGUAAGCAUGAAUUGUGAAAGGCUUUCUCACAUAAAAUGAACCUAUGCUAAGAAGUUGAUCUAAUGAUGAGGCAAGAGGCAAUUACCCACCCUCUCUAAUUGAAUGACAAGAGGCGAUUACCUAUUUCACAUAAUGUAAGGACAAGAGGUGAUUACCCAUGUUCCUUUAAGGACAAGAGACGAUUAACCAUGUUCUUUUAUGAGCUAUGAUGAAAAGUUCAUGGACGGUGAAAGGUUUUCUCACGUAUGGUCAAAGGAGAUAUCCUAUUAUAAUGCAAGGGGAGACUACAUAUGUCUCUUAAAGAUAAGAUAAGUGAAGCCAUAAUAAUUACUACGGCGGAAUUACGCUUAGCACCGAGAGGAUAUUGAUAUUAAAGAUCUUACAUGUUGAGGUCGGGUUUUCUCGAAGCAAUCUACUUAUCCCUUACCUAUGUGCCCCUAUAGGAUGAUGGUCUAGAAAGACAUUAGCUAGUUGAUCAACUUUCGCUCAGAUUCACGAUUCUACCUUGGCAAGUAGGACAACCCUUUUUGGUGUGGGAGACCGGGGAUCAUGUUAUAGCUCACAUGGUCUUUAUGUCGAUUAAAGCUCAUUCCCACAAUAAUAAUGAACUAAGGUUACUUCAAAAAUUAUCUCACAUGUGUUCAAAAUUGAUAGUCACUUGCAUUGAUCAUGGUUUUAUGACUUAUGGUUUCUAACUCUCAAAAUACAUGUUUUAGCUUGAUCAUUCCAUACUUAUGAAAAUGUUCCUUUUUGGCAUGAUUUAAAUGUUUUAUGCAUGACUAUCAUAAUUGGUACAUUUUUUUGUACUAAUGCAUACACUUGCCUACAUUUCCCUAAAUUUAGGGUUUGACAUUUAGGGUUAUCAACUUCAUGGCUAGACGUUUACUUGAAAGAUUUCGAGCUUUGGUGAGUCCUCAUGCUUCGAGGACGGAUUUUCAUUGUUUCAGUUUUCUUUCUUACUUUCAGUUUUGAACCUGAUGUAUGGGUUAUGCCCAAUUUCAUUAUAUUGUACUAGCUGGCUAUUGAGACACAUGUUUAGUCUUCCGCUUUGCUUUUAUAAAACUUUGGACUUGAAAUGCUAUUUUAAUUCCUUUGUUCUAUUUCUUAUGUUAUGAAUGAUAAGUGGCUUGUAUGGGGUCUCUCGCGGUCCUAUACGCCAUGUUAUAUCUAGGGUGUACCCCUGGGUCUGUCAUGGCUCUUUUUAGCAUUAUUUAAAUGUUUUAUGCAUGACUAUCAUAAUCGGUACAUUUUUUUAUUCUAACGCACACACUUGCCUACAUUUCCCUAAAUGUAUGGUUUGACAUUCAGGGUUCUCAACUUCGUGGCUAGAGGUUGACUUCAAAGAUUUCGAGCUUUGGUGAGUCUUCAUGCUUCGAGGAUGGAUUUUCAUUGUUUUAGUUUUCUUUCUUACUUUCAGUUUGAACCUGAUGUAUGAGUUAUGCCCAAUUUCAUUCUAUUGUACUAGCUGGCAAUUGAGACACAUGUUUAGUCUUCCGCUUUGCUUUUAUAAAACUUUGGACUUGAAAUGCUAUUUUAAUUCCUUUGUUCUAUUUCUUAUGUUAUGAAUGCUAAGUGGCUUGUAUGGGGUCUCUCGGGGUCCUAUACGCCAUGUUAUAUCUAGGGUGUACCCCUGGGUCGUGACAGAAGAACACUUUUCUAGAUUUUGGGGUUUUACAAUUUUGUACUUGAAUUUGACAAUUGAAAGUUAAAUCCAAAGCGGGGUUGCUCUUUAUUUCUUGAUUUCAUGUCACUCAUGGCUAUAUUGAUGAAACAUAUAAUUUCUUUACCUUUUUUGAAUGUCGAAUAAAACCCUAAUAACUAGGGGUUCUCUAAUGGGGUUAGGUGUUUGUUUAAUGUAGUGGGUAUUUUUCUAUGGUUUGUUUUUGUGUUGUCCAUACAUGAUUUUUUUCUAAUUAUCAUGGGGUAAACUAAUGGGUUAAGGUUGUAAAAUUAAUUCCUCCUUCCAAUCUUUGGUUGAUGUUCAAAACAGAUUAAUUAGAGUGGGUAAUUAGUUCAAUACUAGCAAUUUACAUUUGAUGUUUAUGACUUGCUCGAAAGAGAGGUUAUGGGUCUUAUCUAUUUACCCUAUUCUUGAAAGAGAGGAUAGAAUAAGGUAAUGGGUUGUUUUGAAUUUGCAUAUAAAUGAGACCGAAAGGAUGUUCUAUGCAUAGAUGCUUUGAGAUCGAAAGAUUAUUUGCGGCAAUAAAGAUUACAUAUCCUAUUCAUGAAUCAUCAUCACUAUAGAGAUACAUAAUUACCACUAUGUGAGAUUGACUUCCAAUUCUCACACCUGUAGAUUGUAUAUUAACUCUUGAUUGACUUUCACUGUUAACCAUUUAUUCUAGGUAAGAAACAGUUUUAUAAUCUAAAAAAAUGAGUUAAAAAUAUUUAACAAUAAUCGACUUAAUUUUUAUUUAUUUGGAAUAACAACGUAUUCAAUUUGAAGUCUCUUCUUUCAUAAGUGAAUAUCAUAAGGAAUCUAGAGUAUUUUCAAGCAAUAAUUCCUUCAAGAAUCUAAUAAAAAAUCCAUAUAUCAUCAUAUUAAAGGAAAUAUAACGAAUUUUUUUAUUAACUUGAUUACUCAUUUAUAUAGUUCUGAAUAAUUUAAGUUGGAAGUCGGUUCCAUCUUCAUCAUCAUUGUUAUCUUCUUCGUCAUAAUUGUUGUGUACAUUUUUUUUUGAGAAGGAUUGUUGUGUACAUUUUUCAUCUUAGCCACAUUACGUUUAGUUGCAUUGAGAAUGAUAGAGACCGUUAAAACAUUAUUAUAUAUACAAUGAGUAAAGGACUAGGGUUUUCUAGAUGUUAUUACAAACUUUUGUACAAGAAAAAAGUUUGAAAGAUUUUUUGGACCGAAAAAGCUUGUAAUAAAAUUUAGAAAACCCUAAACCUUAUCCCUCAUAUAUAUUAUGGUGUUUUAAUAGUCCUUCACAUAUUAAAUGCUACUAAACCUAAUGCGACUAAGAUGAAUAAGGUCACAACAAUGAAGAAGAGGAUGAGUGUGAUAAUGAUAAAACAUAUUUCCAACAUGAAUUCUUCAGAACUGAAUCAAUGAGUAUUCAUAUUCAUAAACAUUUCUCUUCAUUUUAUUUCCUUUAUUUGAUGAUAUGUUGAUUUAUCAUUGAAUUCUUAAAUGGAUUAUAACUUCCAAAUGGUCUAGUUUUCUUAGAACAUUCACAUUUGAAUAGAAAUCUUAAAUUUUAAUACAUUGUUGUGUGUAACUAAAUAAAAAUUAUUUCGAUUGUUGUUAAAUAUUUUAAGCUUAUUUUUUUAGUUUUUCUUAUUAAGAAUAAAUGGUUAAUUCAACGUUGAAAGAAGUGAUAUUAUUCAGAUUUCCUAUUUUCAAAUUAAAACAAAACCUUUAACAAUUAUUUCAUUGUUUUAUCAAAUUGAGUAUUCACAUUUGGUGUAUAUAUAUAUAUAUAUAUAUUUGUAAUAUAAUCUAUAUUGAAUAUAUAAUAGUAGUAGUAACGCUUUUGUUUUGAAAUAUCGGGUUUUAUUGGAAAUUGAUAUAAAAAAUAGGUGGAUUUAAUUGGACCCAAAUUGUUGGUGUCAAACUUCUUAUCAAGAGACCAUGUCUAACUUAUCUCUAACCUCUUCCAUAUCAUUAAGACUAUGGAAGUUGUUUGCUAGUUUUGAAUAUUUAAAUCAUGAGGCAUUAUAACUAUCUCAGGUACUACUAAAACGGUUAAAAAAUUAGUUUGUCAAAAGCAGAAGAAUAUAUUCAUACCAGUGUCAUUCAUCAAUACGUGGAGCUUGCAAGAUAAGAAAAUAGUCAAAUCAUGGGAACACAGUCUUUUUCAAUAGUUUAGUUUUGAAUGUUAGCAUUGAUAGUUUAAAACUAGAUAGUAUUUCAUACCCUAGAUAGAGAUUAAUUCUUUUUUGGACAAGAAAUUGUCGAUUACAUUGAGAAAAUAUGAACCCAAACGUUAAUAUCUAUUUGUUUGUUGGGAGCCACCACAACAAGAACAAUCAAAUUGCAAUACAUAUGGGGCAAUCUAGACACUAGAUCCUAUGGCUUCUAUAUGAGAAUCAUAAAAGAGAAUCAGUGUAUGUCAAAAGAUAGGAAGUUCAUUACAUUGCCAACAUAGAGGAAAGGAAAAUUGUUAAUGGGAAACAAUAUACCAUUAUGUCUCUAUGGGGCUUUCCAAGGGAAAAGUAGAAACUCACUCGCUAGUCCUUGUUAAAAUUAUUUUAAGGUAGUGAGAUAUUACAUGUCACAUAACAAAUGUAGUUGAGAACAUCGUGAAGUUAUCACAAAAAAUCCAUGUGAUGCUACCACAGAUCUACAGAGAAGUAAACACACUAGCAUAUUACAUUGUCAAUCAUGCCCUUGAUAAAAAAGAAAUAAUCAUUUUUACUACAUUUAUAUCAUUACCAAAUAAACCAGAGAUAUUUUGAAUUUUCUCAAGCAACAAAUGACCAACAAAAGGAUAAAAACUAAAAAUAUAAAUCAUAUUAGGGAAGGGGAGGAACACAUCAUCAUAAGACUACGAGUACAAUUUUUUUUUAUUUUCUUGAAUGGUCAUACACCACAAGGACAGGACAACGCACAAAUACAAAGGUGAAGGAUUUAACAAAAUACCAACAUCAAAUACACAAGUGAACGAUUGAGCUAAUGCUUCAAGACAAAUUCAACCUACAAUGUCAUUGAUAUUAAAUAAGUUAUGGGGAGUGAGUAAAUCAAGCUAGAUCGGUACCAGAGAAGAACAAUGAUGAGUUAUAUCAUUCGCACAAAAGGCUCUCAGAUAUAUGAGACCCAAAAGGGGAACACUGUUAGAGCAAUCACCGCAUAGAUAGACAAAAAAAUCAAGAUAGAAAAUCUUUACUGUUUCGAAACAUAAAAGUUUUCUCAAAGCUGCUACAACAUUUCCUACAUCAUCAAAGUCAACUUAGUAAUGAUGAGUAGAAGGAAGAAUAUGCAGAGGAACACAAGGAAAUACUCACAAACUAGAAAAAGGAGCUCAACUCCUUGACCAUCAUAGCAGAUCCAGAGCUUUCAUAGGAGCACAUAGGUUUGAGUCAAAUAAAUAACCCUUUGUUUGCAGAUGUGACACUGGUGUGAACAAAUGAG